AAAUUGAAGAGUUUGAUCAUGGCUCAGAUUGAACGCUGGCGGCAGGCCUAACACAUGCAAGUCGAACGGUAACAGGAAGCAGCUUGCUGCUUUGCUGACGAGUGGCGGACGGGUGAGUAAUGUCUGGGAAACUGCCUGAUGGAGGGGGAUAACUACUGGAAACGGUGGCUAAUACCGCAUAACGUCGCAAGACCAAAGAGGGGGACCUUCGGGCCUCUUGCCAUCAGAUGUGCCCAGAUGGGAUUAGCUUGUUGGUGAGGUAACGGCUCACCAAGGCGACGAUCCCUAGCUGGUCUGAGAGGAUGACCAGCCACACUGGAACUGAGACACGGUCCAGACUCCUACGGGAGGCAGCAGUGGGGAAUAUUGCACAAUGGGCGCAAGCCUGAUGCAGCCAUGCCGCGUGUAUGAAGAAGGCCUUCGGGUUGUAAAGUACUUUCAGCGGGGAGGAAGGUGUUGUGGUUAAUAACCGCAGCAAUUGACGUUACCCGCAGAAGAAGCACCGGCUAACUCCGUGCCAGCAGCCGCGGUAAUACGGAGGGUGCAAGCGUUAAUCGGAAUUACUGGGCGUAAAGCGCACGCAGGCGGUCUGUCAAGUCGGAUGUGAAAUCCCCGGGCUCAACCUGGGAACUGCAUUCGAAACUGGCAGGCUUGAGUCUUGUAGAGGGGGGUAGAAUUCCAGGUGUAGCGGUGAAAUGCGUAGAGAUCUGGAGGAAUACCGGUGGCGAAGGCGGCCCCCUGGACAAAGACUGACGCUCAGGUGCGAAAGCGUGGGGAGCAAACAGGAUUAGAUACCCUGGUAGUCCACGCCGUAAACGAUGUCUACUUGGAGGUUGUGCCCUUGAGGCGUGGCUUCCGGAGCUAACGCGUUAAGUAGACCGCCUGGGGAGUACGGCCGCAAGGUUAAAACUCAAAUGAAUUGACGGGGGCCCGCACAAGCGGUGGAGCAUGUGGUUUAAUUCGAUGCAACGCGAAGAACCUUACCUGGUCUUGACAUCCACGGAAGAAUUCAGAGAUGGAUUUGUGCCUUCGGGAACCGUGAGACAGGUGCUGCAUGGCUGUCGUCAGCUCGUGUUGUGAAAUGUUGGGUUAAGUCCCGCAACGAGCGCAACCCUUAUCCUUUGUUGCCAGCGGUCCGGCCGGGAACUCAAAGGAGACUGCCAGUGAUAAACUGGAGGAAGGUGGGGAUGACGUCAAGUCAUCAUGGCCCUUACGACCAGGGCUACACACGUGCUACAAUGGCGCAUACAAAGAGAAGCGACCUCGCGAGAGCAAGCGGACCUCAUAAAGUGCGUCGUAGUCCGGAUUGGAGUCUGCAACUCGACUCCAUGAAGUCGGAAUCGCUAGUAAUCGUGGAUCAGAAUGCCACGGUGAAUACGUUCCCGGGCCUUGUACACACCGCCCGUCACACCAUGGGAGUGGGUUGCAAAAGAAGUAGGUAGCUUAACCUUCGGGAGGGCGCUUACCACUUUGUGAUUCAUGACUGGGGUGAAGUCGUAACAAGGUAACCGUAGGGGAACCUGCGGUUGGAUCACCUCCUUACCUUAAAGAA
rnacentral:rRNA from 9 species